AUAAUGAUACUUCCGCUAUGGUAGCAGGUCGCUUGGAUGGGGCUGGUGAGAUUCCAAUGA
ncrna:unclassified sequences pemK RNA